CAUGUCUCAGUACAAGCCAAAUUAAGGUGAAACCGCGAAAGGCUCAUUAAAUCAGUUAUGGUUCCUUAGAUCGUACUCCCAGUUACUUGGAUAACUGUGGUAAUUCUAGAGCUAAUACAUGCUUAUAGAGCCCCGACCGGAGACGGAAGGGGUGCUUUUAUUAGAUCAAAACCGAAAGAUGGUGGUAAUGAUGAAUCUGUAUAACUUUUUGCUGAUCGCACGUUCUUGCAACGGCGACGUAUCUUUCAAAUGUCUGACUUAUCAACUGUCGAUGGUAGGCUCUGCGCCUACCAUGGUCGUAACGGGUAACGGGGAAUCAGGGUUCGAUUCCGGAGAGGGAGCCUGAGAAACGGCUACCACAUCCAAGGAAGGCAGCAGGCGCGCAAAUUACCCAUUUCCGGUACGGAGAGGUAGUGACGAAAAAUAACGAUACGGGACUCAUCCGAGGCCCCGUAAUCGGAAUGAGUACACUUUAAAUCCUUUAACGAGGAUCAAUUGGAGGGCAAGUCUGGUGCCAGCAGCCGCGGUAAUUCCAGCUCCAAUAGCGUAUAUUAAAGUUGUUGCGGUUAAAAAGCUCGUAGUCGAAUUUGUGUCUCGCGGCGUCGGUUCAUCGUUCGCGGUGUUAACUGACGUUUGUGUUUUAUUUAUAUUUUUUAUUCGCGGGACGUCAUGCCGGAUGGGCUUGCUCUGUUGUGCGUCUGCCUCGGUUAACGCAGUCUCUUAUGUAUUGGUGCGUUUGUGUGUAGUAUGUCCGUUUGUUUGUGCAACGUUUAUAGUGUUGUUGUAUGGGGUAUUAUGCUCUAUGCUCUCAUUAUUUAUUUUGCCUUACUGCCUGCUGCUACGUGCAUCGCAUUAUGUAUGUAUGUUGUACCAUUGUUUAGCCAAUGGGGCGGCACUUAUAUGGGGCGGUCCGACUUGUUAUUAUCAUAAUAUUAAUCCUGCCUAGGUGCCUUUAACCGGGUGUCGAGGUGGGCCGGCACGUUUACUUUGAACAAAUUAGAGUGCUUAAAGCAGGCUAAAAAUAUUGCCUGAAUACUAGUUGCAUGGAAUAAUGAAAUAGGACCUCGGUUCUAUUUUGUUGGUUUUCGGAACUUCCGAGGUAAUGAUUAAUAGGAACGGAUGGGGGCAUUCGUAUUGCGACGUUAGAGGUGAAAUUCUUGGAUCGUCGCAAGACGAACUUAAGCGAAAGCAUUUGCCAAAAACGCUUUCAUUGAUCAAGAACGAAAGUUAGAGGUUCGAAGGCGAUCAGAUACCGCCCUAGUUCUAACCAUAAACGAUGCCAGCUAGCGAUCCGCCGACGUUCCUCCGAUGACUCGGCGGGCAGCUUCCGGGAAACCAAAGCUUUUGGGUUCCGGGGGAAGUAUGGUUGCAAAGCUGAAACUUAAAGGAAUUGACGGAAGGGCACCACCAGGAGUGGAGCCUGCGGCUUAAUUUGACUCAACACGGGAAAACUCACCAGGCCCGGACACUGGGAGGAUUGACAGAUUGAUAGCUCUUUCUUGAUUCAGUGGGUGGUGGUGCAUGGCCGUUCUUAGUUGGUGGAGCGAUUUGUCUGGUUAAUUCCGAUAACGAACGAGACUCUAGCCUGUUAAAUAGGCGCUUUUCGGCAUAUUUAAGGCCAGCCGAUUAUAAGAUGUGUAUGUUAAGAGAUGAUGUGUGUCUGAUGUGUUUUAUUUUGUUUAUUAUUUUUUUAUCUUACAAUGAGAGAUUUUAUGUUUGUAUACUUUAUUGAUUGUAUGCAAUGUUCUAUUGUCGCGCGCGGUUUUUACUGCCGGCGUGAAAUUAAUUCUUCUUAGAGGGACAGGCGGCGUUUAGCCGCACGAGAUUGAGCAAUAACAGGUCUGUGAUGCCCUUAGAUGUUCUGGGCCGCACGCGCGCUACACUGAAGGAAUCAGCGUGUUUUCCCUGGCCGAAAGGUCCGGGUAACCCGAUGAAACUCCUUCGUGAUAGGGAUUGGGGCUUGUAAUUUUUCCCCAUGAACGAGGAAUUCCCAGUAAGCGCGAGUCAUAAGCUUGCGUUGAUUACGUCCCUGCCCUUUGUACACACCGCCCGUCGCUACUACCGAUUGAAUGAUUUAGUGAGGUCUUCGGAUUGGUGCGCGUCGGCGCUUCGGCGUCGAGCGAUUGCGCCGAGAAGAUGACCAAACUUGAUUAUUU
rnacentral:rRNA from 1 species